rnacentral:rRNA from 1 species
UACGUAGGGGGCAAGCGUUGUCCGGAUUUAUUGGGCGUAAAGAGCGUGUAGGCGGCCUGAAAGGUCAGCUGUGAAAACUCGAGGCUCAACCUCGAGACGUCGGUUGAAACCAUCUGGCUAGAGUCCGGAAGAGGAGAGUGGAAUUCCUGGUGUAGCGGUGAAAUGCGCAGAUAUCAGGAAGAACACCAAUGGCGAAGGCAGCUCUCUGGGACGGUACUGACGCUGAGACGCGAAAGCGUGGGGAGCGAACAGG